UAUACCUUGCUAUGGAGCGGGUCUGCGAAAGCACCCGGCGCAUCUUGUGAGAGCGCAGGUCUCCUGUGGCAAGGUUUCUU
rnacentral:ncRNA from 12 species